rnacentral:lncRNA from 1 species
GUGGGGGGCACCCAUGAAGGGUUAGCAAAGCCUGAGGGAAGAGCUUGAGGGUGCGAAGGAGUUUAGUGCCUCCACCUGGGGUGGGGGGCACACCCUCAGCCAUCUCCCACACUCCCACACCAGUGACCCUUGAAGAUCUGCUUCUUGAAGGUGCUGGCAGCCCCUCUCCCGACCACUGGCAGCCUGGUCCAGCGUCAUACCCGAGCCGUUACAGGUCCCCCGCGCUGCUCCCCAACUUUGUGGGGUGCCAAUGGCACAGAGACUGUCACGCGGUGGUGUGAGGGUGGCAGUGGCCUGGGGACGUGUGGCCCCCCCCUUUGCAACCACUCUCAUCAUGUCCUCUCAACAGCGUUGGGGAGAGUGGCUGUCACCAUCCCAUUUUAUGGGUGAGAAAACUGAGGCUCCUGGUGCUCCCACCAAUGGUGGCUUGUCGCUGAGAAUGGGAGUGGACUCCUUCUUCACCUCUGACUCCCUUGUCCCUAACACUAGUCAUUCCAUCUCUCUGAGCCUCAGUUUGUUCCUCUGCAAAAUGGGAACAAGCAUCCUUGCUCUCCUGGCCAAGGGGAGGAAAAAGUGAUACCAGGUUCACAGAAUCGGGUGGCCCUGGGCGCGGGACUCAGCCUCUGAGGGCCACCUUCUGCAGGACCUUCAGUGGAGCUCACGGUGGCGGUCAUGACAAGGCCCCUGGCCCGGGGAUAUCGUCCCUCUUUCUGCCCCUGUAGGACACAGGCAGCCACAGCAGGAAGAGAAAGUGAGGUAGGUCUGUGUGGAAGCGUUCCCACCCUCGGCUCUUCCCUCUCCCCAGCCACGCGGCCACGGCCAGGCUCAGCGGAGAGCUGGCCGGCCCUCCACCCUCUGUGCGGUGACUCACAUGGCCCGCUGGGGAUGAAGUCACUGCCGCCCAGGCAAAGAAAAGGAUACAUUUGUUCCCUGGGAGAUGCUGAUGCCAUGGUGAACUUGGCCUGUGAGGGGACAAAGCCCAGGGCCUGUGCUCUCUGGAGGGACUUAACCACACCAACAGGGAGGGCAGGGGGAGGAGACGCUGGGUGUGGGGGGAGGGGACCUAAGGAGUGGGAGGCGCCUCUGUUCUGCAGACCCAAGGGAGGGUCUGUGAGCCUCCUUCUAGCCUCCCCGCCGAGCCAGCCUGGCUUCAAACAGCAAGUCUAGUCAAGCACCUUGCUGUAACUCUCAGUUCAUAGCAACUACAGGAGACAGAGGAACAGGUGAGAUGACACCCGUGGGGUAAGCGAUCAGCCAGAAACGGAAUGUGGGAGGUGCUAAAGCGUAUGGCCUGGUUUCUUCAACAAAGGGAUGGCAAAGCCGGAAAAGGACGAGGAGGUUCUAGACAUAAGGAGACUCAACGGACCCAUGCAGCAUGCGGAUCGUAUUAGAAUCCUGAUUCAAACACAUCGGUUGUAAAAAGGCAUUUUGAGGGACCAUCUGGGAAAGCUGAACACAAAAAUGGGUAUGGAACGUAUGGAGGAAAGAUGAAACACACCGGGCAAAGCCGGGACAUCUGGCACAGGUAGGUGAUUCAUGGCGGGACCCUGCUGUGGGACCCUGGGCAGUUGCUCUCUGCCUCCAAUCAGAUCUCAAAUUUCCAAUAACAAUAAGUUAGAAACAAUGCACAAAACACCCAAUUUGCUCUUGAAUACAUUCACUUUAAAGGGAAACUUUAUAUCACUCCCCCAAAUGGAAAACUACUAUCACUUGCUGUAAGUAGAAGGUUACCAUGAAAACAAGACAAUGUUAUUCAAUUUCAGGCAGAUACUGUUUCCUGCCAAGGGCGCUGGGCUUAAAAUCUGCCCGGUCUUUGUUAGGAAGCAGCUCUGGGAGAGAAGUGAAUGCACUCUCAUUGUGGGUCCCGCUGUAUGGGGACGUGGGCCUUACAAGGUAAAGUCCGUGAAACACAUUUUUUCUGUUCUUCCUCCAUCAGGGAGGGGAGAAGUGAGGAGCCUGGGAGGCAGGGAGCAGGGAGGCAGGGUUACCCUGCCUGGUAAUUCCCACAGCAGAGAGGGUCUUAGCUGGGGGAUGCCGAGAUGGUGCAGCAGCUUGGGACUUUCUGCCUCACAGCUUUAGAGCCGGGCUAGAGAUGAAGAAAUGGAAGCCCAGAGUGGGUUGGGACACUGCCCAGGGUCACUUGGCAAGUCUGCGGGGGAAACUGGGAAGGACAAGACUCUGGGUUUUCUGACCUGCAGCCCUCUGAUCGUCUAACCUUUUUCUUGGUCACGGAUGUGGAUUGAGCACCUACUGUGUGCCAGGCGCAGAGGAUGGGGAAGGGACACGGAUGAAGGAGAUAGAGUUCCAUGGAGUUGACAUUUACAGGUGGGGCCAGAGGAGACAAACACCAGGCAAAUGAUGAGAUCAUUUCUGAUGUUGUGGAGGGUGAUAACGAAAACAAAACUGGGGGACGCGGAAGAUGACAAGUAGGACAGGAUGGUGCUAUGCCAGGUAAGGCAAUCAAGGAGGGCUUCUCUGAGGAGGUGGCGUUCCAACUGGGGCUUGACAGACUGGGAUGGAGGCAGAGGGGGUAAUCUGGGGACACAAGGCUCCAGAAGAAGCCAGAGCAUGAGUACUGUGGACUAGCCUUCAACAACUCCUGACACUUUCUUAAAACUUUGUAUUUUGAGUUAAUUUCAGAUUCCAGCAAAGUUGCAGGAAUACAAAGACUGUGUAUCAGAGUGCCUGGGUGGCUCAGUGGGUUAAAGCCUCUGCCUUCGGCUCGGGUCAUGAUCCCAGGGUCCUGGGAUCGAGUCCCGCAUCAGGCUCUCUGCUGAGCAGUGAGCCUGCUUCCCCUCUCUCUCUGUCUCUCUGCCUACUUGCGAUCUCUGUCAAAUGGAUAAAUAAAAUCUUAAAAAAAAAAAAAAAGACUCUGUAUCCUUCACCCAGAUUCCCCACCUAUUAACACUGUAUCCCAUUUUACUUUAUCAUAUUGUCUCUCUUUUUCUCUACACAUACACAAAUACGAGCAAGCGCGUAUGCAUGUGCAUGCGUGUGCACACACACACACACUUUUAUUUUUUUUCCCAGAAUAAUUUGAGAGUCGGUUGCCCACCUCAAGCCCCUGCUACUUCAGGGUGUCUGUCCUAAAACAGGACGUUCUCUGAUAUAACCACAGUACAGUUUUCCAAAGUCAGGAACAUUCACAUUGAUUCAAUACCACUGCCUAACCCUUGGAUCUUAUUUAGAAUUGUCAAGGGACCUAAUGAUGUCCUCUCUGAAAAGACAGUCCCUAAUUCUCAAGCCUCCUUUAUGGAUAUCCAGAGGAAAAUGCAUUUUCAGGGCAGGUUUGCAAGGAGAACACCCAGCCUGACCCUUUAAAGCGGACGGCAUGGCAGGUGGAUGGCUGGCUCAGGGCCAGCUACAGCCUGGCCCGGUGCAAAAGGAAAAACAAGCACCCUGAUAACAUUCUUGCCAAAAUAGC